rnacentral:lncRNA from 1 species
GAAGCGGCUCGCGCGGGCCCGGCCGGCAGCCGCUCCCCAGACACCGGGGAUCCGGCCCGACUGUUUCCUACCCACGACGGCGAAGACCCGCUACAGCGCGUCCACGAAGCCCCAGUACUGAGCCAGGACGGGGCUCUCCCUCUCGAUGUAGGCGACUACGAACUGCUCCGCCAGCCGGUGAGGCAGCUAAUUAAGAAAGCCACCUUCAGGAUGUCUUUCGAGAAUCUAGCCUCGAAGAAAGUCAUGUAAGAGAACGCCUGCAUCAAAAAGUCGGGAGGCCGGGCGGAGUCGCCGUUAAACGUCCAGGGAAAGCCACCAGGUGGGCCGGCGAACGCUCCCGGGCCAGCAGGUAGGCUUUCUCGCACAGCAGCCCCCGCACCCGGUCCGUAAGCUCGUUGUUCUCCCUGCGCCGGGCAUGGUUCUAGGUCAGGAGGUCCUACAUCAUGACAGCCAACGCGUCCAUCCUGCGCCUCCCCGCAGGCCUUGCUCCCCGCUCGGUCCCUCCCGGCCGCGGCGCUGCCGGAAGUGCGUGUCGGCGCGGGGGCGGAUCCCGGUGGCGGCGAGGGGCGGACUCCGCGGACAAGGCCAGGCCUAGCCUUGAGCUCCGUCGGGCAGGGCCGCCGGGAUUGGUGUCCGGCAGAGCGUGAGCCCAGCGGGCUGGAGUCGGCGAGCGGGAGUGAAAGAAGAAAAGCUAGAGAGCGAAGGCAAAGCCCGAGGAGAGAGGGCCGCGGUCGGCGGAGGAAUCUGACUGCACGGUUGCGUGCGCUCACUCCCGGAGGGCUCCCUCAGGCGGGCGGCUCCGCUAGUGGCUAAAGGCAAAGCAUUCCGGGGCGCGGCGCAUGAAGUUGAGCUUCGUCCCUGCUAGCCGCCGCUUUCUCCCCAAAAAUACAUCCUAGCCUUAAUGUUUAUGCCUCCAUUGCCCCAGUUCUUAUCUGUUUUGCUCAAUGUCUCAUAGCUACAAGAAGGCAAUUUCUGACGAAGCCCUCCGUCCCUUCCAAAUGGAUUAUUUUGGCGGGCUUCCACCCGGACAGUAUGCCACCCGAAUGACUGGACAAGUGCACGGGAGCGGCUGUCAUUUGCGGAGUGCGCCUUGCGAUCUAGGCGCCUCACAGCGCAAAUUAUCCAGUAAUUUCUCUGAAAUCGAUGCUGGUUUGUUUUCCCAAGGCAAAUCAGCAGCUUAUACAGACAUUGGGGCCACAAAGCCGGUGGAACAACGGGAGACGGCUUCCUGAGUGUCAGGUCCUCCAAGAUGAGCUUAAACUUCGGGUGGUGGGCAGGCUCGGUAGGCGGGAAAGGCCCGUGUCCAGAUGAAUGCAGUCCAUGUUUAUAUUGAUGAAAGACACGUAUACCAUUUGGUCCAGCUCAACCAUUCUUAACAAGUGCUGGCUGUGAGCACUGGUGUGUGUGUGCCUGCGUGCAACCAGCAAUGUAAGUGAUGACCAGCUGCAUGAUGCCUUAAUUUGAGUGGACAAAGUCGGUCAAGAACCACUUUCAGGCUUCUGGGUCUCCAAGUCUUUGUCUCCCUGUAUCCAAACGAGGCAUUCCAAGUUUGACAGCAUGGAACAUUGCAUGUCCGAAAUACCAACCGUGAAACUGGGUAAAAAGCUUCAGGAGGUGAUAUUGAUGUGUAUAGUUUAGGAAAUAAAACCCAAUACUUACUUCAAAGAACGUAAUUUGUGGCUUUUUAGAGAGAAGGAUACUUUGACAGUUUUCAUUUGUCGUCUACAUGUAUAUGGUACGUUUCAUUCUGCCUUUUAAUUAAUUUGGUAUUUUACUAUGAAAACUACUUUGUAUUAAUAAAAUAAUGUAUUUCCAAUGUUAUAAGUUGUGUUAUAACAGUUUCAAAAGCCAAAUAAACAAGAUGCAUUUUGA